AUGAACAUUUUGGUUUUUUUAGAAAGAAGGCAUAGACCCGACAUUAAAUUAAUGACACCCUGAAAAAUAGAAAAGGCAAAAGAAACACGAUACAAGGUACAUGGUGCUGUAGGACCAGCUUACAAGACAUGAAACAAACCAUGCAAUAUAAAAAUAUAACAGAGUGGAUUUUCUACUCCCAGAUGCACCUACACCAUCCAUGAACAGUAAAUUCAAAAGAAAAUGAAAAACAGAAUAAAAAAAUAUGAAAUUUUGAGACAUGAAAUUAGAUCAAAAGUUUUAGCAUCUUGCAAAUUUUUCACCACGAAAUAACAUUCAUGGUGAAAAAUGAGGCGUAAGUAGAUUCACUCAUUUUGCUUCGUAAGUAGUCCAUAUUGAAAUCUAUAUAAAGACUUCUAUUUAGGAACGGAGGGAGUACAAAAGAAACGCCUCUUGAUCGUCGAAGUCCUCAGCGACGAAGCGAAACACCAAUGAGGCGUAAGUAGAUGAUGAACACAUAGCAAGCACUGCGCAGGAGUGAGAUCACGUCAAGCAAUAUUGAUUUGUUUGAUUUGAUGAAUAUUCUACCAUUUGAAAUAAAUCUGAAUGUUAUUGUUUAUUAUUCUUAUGGAGUGUUUGGAAGUGUGAGCAUGUAGUAUAAGAGUACCUUAUCCGUUCAGCGGGGUGCUCCAACUUUUGAUGCUGGCGAAGCUUUUGCAAUGAUGGCUGCAUCCUCCAUCAUUUGUUAGUCUCCGUUGGAGGUUUAAUUAAACUGAAGUAAAUAUGCUAGAUUCUUUUGUCAAUAAAAACAGGACUGCCUAGUUUGCUUGUCAGGACCAAGAUCUCUAGCUAUCAAUGAAAUUUUCAUAGUAGUUUUUGUUGCCUUUGUGUAACCCUGAUAGCAGCUUCUUGGAAGGUUCAGAUGUGUGGCAAAGGAUUUCAAUUUUCCUGCUUACACAAAGGAAACUCGAGGAAGGUUCAGAUUUCUCAUGCUUGGUUCUGUGCUCUCAGGGUUACAUAGACAAAAAUGCCUCCUAUUUACACAAAGGCAACUCGAGGAAGGUCCAGAUUUCUCAUGACUGCUUCUUCGGCAUUUCAUGCCUGUGCCAUCUUAUUAGAAAAUGUAGUUUGUUUUAUAGCUGAUGAUGCUUGAUGCUUUCAUCGAUUAGUAAAUGCUCAGCUUUAGCUCAUAAACUACAUGGCAAAAGCUAAUUCCGAUGGGUCUGAUGCAAAUAAUUUUCAUCUUUAGACAUGCCUUUAGUUGAUUAUUUAAUCCUUUUAUAAGAAUCUAUUUAGCUUUGUAUUGUUGCAGUUUCAUUAUAUAUCCACUUACCAAUGCAUCUAAAGAUUCAACAAUGUAGAAUCCAGCAUCAGUCUUGGGACUACAAAUUGUUUCUUCAUUCCUCCGUGUUGCACUGUAGGUGAUAAGGGGUCGAGGUCGUAUGUUCGUCGUGGCAUCAAUACAGUAAUACACUUCACUUUCCUUUUCCUUUUCCCUUUUUCUGUUCUUGCAUUUAUUUCUUCUUCGCGGACCUCUCUGUCUACUGCUUUAAUAUGGUUCUGAUUGGUGCCCUGCAUCUUCCAAGAUAUAUGGAUUUUGGUCGAGCAAAUACCAUGACAUGAGCUUGAAGAUUUCAAAGAUACAGAAGGUUGACAGAAAGAGGAUACACUGAUUUCAGCUGCGGACAUUGAGCUGAGUCUCUCCCUAAUAGAUUUGUUUCCCUACAAUAUGGCAGAUUAAUGUAUAUUCUUCUGAAGUCAUAGUACAUUCAUGGUCUGUAUAUAUGUUUGUAUGCUGCAAACCUGAGUCCGGUUUCAAAGUUUGGCCGCAGCUAGCUUGAUUUGGAGACAUUUCCUGUUAGGAGUUAAACUUUGGUUUGGAGGCAUCGAGCUUUGGCUGUAACUAGCUUUGUUACUUGGUAUACCUCUGUCAGCAUUCACGUAAACACUAUCUACCACAUUGUUUAAUAUGGGGUUUACUCUGGUGCCACGUGUACUAUAUUGCUAGAUUUAACUUUAAUCUAUGAGUUGCUUCGUAUCUAUUUCGGCAUAAAUGUUUCAUCAUACUAGGAUUUAAUUGGUGAUCUUACUUUUGUUGCCUUUUGGUGACUAUGAAAUAUAUUGCAUUUUCAUGGAAGCAGGAGCCGGGUAGUUGUUGAGCGGGUUGUGGGAGAGGCGGUCGGCGAGCGCGGGCUAGACGGGAAGGUGAUGCCUGCGAUGGCGACCAUGCCGGCGGGCAGGGCAAGGUUGAUUGUGUCCAUCAUGGUGUUUCCGAGGGAGAGCGAGGCAUCUGCCAUCGCGCAUCUGAAGAAGUCGAUGCUCGGGGCGAGGUUGACCACCAUGGCCGGCGUGAAAGCGGACGGACUUAAAGGCCGGUGACAGGUUUGCCGUCGUCACACUGUCUCUCAACUUGGCGGAGAGGCGAAAGGAGAGUUGUGGCACCAUGAAGACCUCGACGCCUGCUGCUGUGACCACGACCAGGCCAUUGUGUUUGUAAUAAAGAUACUAAUUGUAUACAUAUCCCCCAGCUUCAAAAACAUUAGAUAAAUAUCCAACUUAUUAUUGAAAAAUCUUGAUUCAAGAUAAAUGGAACCUUUCCUAUAUACAAUGAGCUUAUUAUUUGAAGGUUGCAUUGAUUGUGCUAUUAUUGCUGAAAUAAGAGGCUUACGUGAAUUUGUCAA